GCUUAACACAUGCUUUUCGAACGGAAAGGCCCUGCUUUUGUGGGGUGCUCGAGUGGCGAACGGGUGAGUAACACGUGAGUAACCUGCCCUUGACUUUGGGAUAACUUCAGGAAACUGGGGCUAAUACCGGAUAGGAGCUCCUGCUGCAUGGUGGGGGUUGGAAAGUUUCGGCGGUUGGGGAUGGACUCGCGGCUUAUCAGCUUGUUGGUGGGGUAGUGGCUUACCAAGGCUUUGACGGGUAGCCGGCCUGAGAGGGUGACCGGCCACAUUGGGACUGAGAUACGGCCCAGACUCCUACGGGAGGCAGCAGUGGGGAAUAUUGCACAAUGGGCGGAAGCCUGAUGCAGCAACGCCGCGUGCGGGAUGACGGCCUUCGGGUUGUAAACCGCUUUCGCCUGUGACGAAGCGUGAGUGACGGUAAUGGGUAAAGAAGCACCGGCUAACUACGUGCCAGCAGCCGCGGUGAUACGUAGGGUGCGAGCGUUGUCCGGAUUUAUUGGGCGUAAAGGGCUCGUAGGUGGUUGAUCGCGUCGGAAGUGUAAUCUUGGGGCUUAACCCUGAGCGUGCUUUCGAUACGGGUUGACUUGAGGAAGGUAGGGGAGAAUGGGAUUCCUGGUGGAGCGGUGGAAUGCGCAGAUAUCAGGAGGAACACCAGUGGCGAAGGCGGUUCUCUGGGCCUUUCCUGACGCUGAGGAGCGAAAGCGUGGGGAGCGAACAGGCUUAGAUACCCUGGUAGUCCACGCUGUAAACGGUGGGUACUAGGUGUGGGGUCCAUUCCACGGGUUCCGUGCCGUAGCUAACGCUUUAAGUACCCCGCCUGGGGAGUACGGCCGCAAGGCUAAAACUCAAAGGAAUUGACGGGGCCCCGCACAAGCGGCGGAGCAUGCGGAUUAAUUCGAUGCAACGCGUAGAACCUUACCUGGGUUUGACAUGGAUCGGGAGUGCUCAGAGAUGGGUGUGCCUCUUUUGGGGUCGGUUCACAGGUGGUGCAUGCCUGUCGUCAGCUCGUGUCGUGAGAUGUUGGGUUAAGUCCCGCAACGAGCGCAACCCUUGUUCACUGUUGCCAGCACGUUAUGGUGGGGACUCAGUGGAGACCGCCGGGGUCAACUCGGAGGAAGGUGGGGAUGACGUCAAGUCCUCAUGCCCCUUAUGUCCAGGGCUUCACGCAUGCUACAAUGGCUGGUACAGAGAGUGGCGAGCCUGUGAGGGUGAGCGAAUCUCGGAAAGCCGGUCUCAGUUCGGAUUGAGGUCUGCAACUCGACCUCAUGAAGUCGGAGUCGCUAGUAAUCGCAGAUCAGCAACGCUGCGGUGAAUAAGUUCCCGGGGCU
rnacentral:rRNA from 1 species